rfam:Myotis lucifugus cont2.65658, whole genome shotgun sequence.
GCCAGUUUGGCUCAGUGGAUAGAGCGUCAGCCUGCGGGACUGAAAGGUCCCAGGUUCAAUUCCGGUCAAGGGCA